CCUGGUGGUUUUGGCGAGGGUGCACCACCCGAUUCCAUCUCGAACUCGGCCGUGAAACCCCUCAGCGCCGAUGGUACUGCGUCUUAAGGCGUGGGAGAGUAGGUCGCUGCCAGGU
rnacentral:rRNA from 1 species